CAACUGGGCAGAGGGAUCCUCCUCCUCUCAUCACUGUUAGGUGCAGCUUUCAUAUAAACAUUCCAAAGUACCACCUGAGAUGUGUAUCUGUGUCCUAUUACCAACUAGGAGGAAGAGCUGCAGAGUGGAAGUGACUUGCUUAUGGGCUUCCAAACAGGAACCAGUUCUGCCAUAGAAUCAACCAGAAGUGAUCUUCCUGCUCUAGAUUCAUGUGAUGGUUUGGGUGUUUCCCCC